rnacentral:lncRNA from 1 species
UUUGGCCUUGUACAUGUACAUAUCUUUUACAUAUAUAAAAUAAAAAAGAUCUAGAGGUCUGCUGUUUCAUAAAAAAAAGGCUUUGAGAAUGUCUCUAUCUUGGAGCUCCCUGCAGAUUUCGAUAAGCGGCAAUUAUAUCACAGGUAAAGUGAGAGGAAAUGUUUUUUUUUUUCAGUUGAAGUGUAGCCCAAAAGUACAGUGUACAUAGUUCAGUUAAGUGAAAGCAAUAGCCAGAAUGGUGAUGUAGACAGAGCACAAAUCUUUUUAGCAAGAUCCUUCGAAGCCUCUUCAGGAUCGCCCGCAGCCAUGCCCGACAGCGUGAGCGCUCAAGCACGUGACUCUUUCUCGGCUCAGAUAUGGCGAUGGCGGAUGGAGCGGGUACCCUUGCUGCGGGAGAGCUGGCUCGUGCUGCCUAUGGCUCGAGUGGGGAUGGAUAGCUCUCCGGGCUGCGGCGGACGGCGAGGACGGCGUAAGGGCCGGAGCACGAGUCGACGAGGAGACAGAGCGGCAAACCAGAGUCCAAUUUGUAAAUAAUCAAAAUCAGGAGGGUAUUUUUAAAUAAUCGGAUCGCGAUCAAUAAUCGCGAUCCAAAAUCAGGGGGCUAUCUGAAAAUAUUUAGGGCCUACCUGUAAAAAGUCGAGCCAGCGACAUGGCCGCCGGCGAGGUGGCGCCGCCGCCGCCGCCAUGGCCCCGUGUGAGCCCCCGACAAGUUCCCGCGUGCAUCCGCUGGCUCCCGCUCCCCUCUCGCGCCGCCGAUGGCUCUGGCUCCUCCAGGGAUGCCGUGGUGGCCUGAGACUGAUGAGCCUACAGCUCGGCGCUGCGGCGCCCGAGCGCGGACGGCGGAUGCGCU